UACAGAGGGGGCAAACGUUGCUCGGAAUUAUUGGGCGUAAAGCGCGCGUAGGCGGUUACUUAAGUCGGAUGUGAAAGCCCUCGGCUCAACUGGGGAAGUGCAUCUCGAAACUGAGUGGCUUGAGUACAAAAGAGGGUCGCGGAAUUCCCGGUGUAGAGGUGAAAUUCGUAGAUAUCGGGAGGAACACCGGUGGCGAAGGCGGCGACCUGGGUUGAUACUGACGCUGAGGCGCGAAAGCGUGGG
rnacentral:rRNA from 1 species